GAAAUUAUUGAGGAAAAAGAAUUGCUUUAUAAGACUGAAAACUUACUUUUUAUUACAGAAAAAAUGGUGCAUCUCAUUAAUAACACCUAGUAGAUGGAUUUAAACCAGAGAACACCUUGUGAAGUGCAUUGGACUCAGAUGAGUGCAAUGACAGUCAUCACAGAAUGAAAUAGGUGCCAGAGAGCCUGGACACAUUGGAAAAGCCACCAGUCGUGGUUCCGAAGGCAUGGUGCUGAGAAACUCUUGCCCGCAAUGUUCCCACACAGCUGAAAGGAGGGAAUGGUAUGGAGACUUGCCCCUCCUGACAACCAGCCACAACUUUGUUUAGAUUGAG
rnacentral:lncRNA from 1 species